rnacentral:lncRNA from 1 species
AGGAAACCGAGUCCCCUUAACCUGUGCGACCCAACCGAGUACCACGGCCAAAUUUGAUCCUUUCUCCGGCCAAUUUCCGAUGAAUUGUGUUGAUCCACUACUUAAAAAUUUAUCCUCGACUUCUCAUCUCCCCGUUAUACGAAAAACUAGAGUUAAUUGGAUCUUAAUUUGGCAAAAAUAGCAUCGUGCAUGCGUCGAGUGCUCGGCUUCAAUUCACCAAACCUAAAGCUAACUUUGUCCACCACCACCACCAAUCUACUCCCCACAAGCUCAGAAACAAAGCCCAAGCAAUGGUGGAGGUGUCGAAGCACGUAUAGAGGUCGAAUUGAAGCACACCCAAUUCUAGGGUUCCGAUGGUUCGUGGGUAAUUUCAGGUGUAUCCCGGCCGAAUUGGACUUCGGCCCAUGUAUGAAAAUUGAUCCCCUUGACUUAUUCUACAUUUCUGUAAAAUUUGGUAAUUUUUCGAAAAAAAAUUGAAUUUUUUGGCAAAUCGGGGCGAGUGGGCCAAGAACCCACCAGACCAUCCUAGGCUAAUUUUGAUGUCCUGAUUCUAUAUUUGACAUCCGUUUAAUGAAAUUUCGAUGUUUUAACAUAGUUUCAUAAUUGACCGCUUAGCUGGCCGUCACUUGAUUACAGCAAUCAAUGAUCUAACCGUUGGAUUGUCACUAAAUUUUGAUACGUUGUAGUAUGAAAUAUUGUAGGACAUUAGAAACUAAAGGAUCGGGAAUCCAACGUAUGGAUGUUCCCGAAUUGGAUUUCUAAGUUUGUAUAAUCAAACGUUGGCCGCAACUUGAAUUUGUGAUUGGCAGAGAUCCAAUCGUUGGAUCGUAGUGAAAUUUUAGCAUGUUAUUCUGGAAGUAUAAUGUGGACCUUGGGAAGUUACGGAUCAAAAUUCUGACAGGCGGAUCUUUUGGUUUAGAUUUCUAGGGUUGUGGACCCUAUUCAUGACCUUGAUCGACAGUUGACUUUUUAGUCAACUAGCUCGAGUUCUUUUAGCGUGUUGUGAGCUUAGAGUGUUGUUGAGAUUCCAUGGAGCUUAUUGGGUUCAGCAUGAUGAUGUGUCUUCCUCGAUUGACGUGCACCUUAAUUUACGUAUUGAUGGCAUCACAUCAUGUUAUGCUUGUUUAUUUUAUGUGAUUUGACUUGUGUAUUGAACUUGAUGUGGAGUGUGGUUGAUUUUUAUGUUUGGUAUGAUGCGAUGAAAUGUGAAGACUAGUAGUAGACCGUUAACCCAUUUUCAUGGGGUUUGUUGCUUCAACACUUGUUUUAUAUCUUGCUUCCUUAUUUCACUGCUUGAUUUGUUCGGCCCUUCUAAAUUGAGUACUUGGUUCAUGUAUUGUUUCUUCGAGCGUUGUUAUAUUUCUUAGACUUCCACUCGGUUCCGUUGAGUGAUUCAGAAUUGGGUUCCGCUGAAUGGUCUGGUUCCCUGCUUCAUCUGGAUUUCGUUAAGAGGUUCGAUAUCCCUCGUGCUCCGCGAUUCCAUUGAGUGGUCCAGAAUCAUAUCCAACUUGUAUAUCAUUGAGUGGUUCGAUUUGCAUUGUACUCUGCGAUUCCGUUGAGUGGUCUGGAAUUGUAUCCUGGUUUGGAUUAUGUUGAGUGGUCCGGAAUCCCUUUUGGUGUCUUGGUUCCGUUAAGUGGUCUAGAACCCAAUGUUGAUGGAUUUCGUUAAGUGGUCCAAAAUCACAUCAUUUGACUUGUUCGUUCCUUGGAUUUCAUUUCAGCUUUAGAGAUGUAGGCUUCGGCCAAACUUUGUCGCUCUAGCCCUGCAUUUCAGUGUAUGAUAUGUGUUAUUGAUUGAUGUGAUUGUGGAGUGAUGUUGGUUGUGAUUGUUGUCAUUAUGAUUAGACUCGUUGACCAAUAUGGCUAGAGAUUAAUGUUGCGCUUCGUCGACUGUUCCUUGAGAUGUUGCAUGCCAUGAAUUGUGGUAUUGUGUGGAGAUAUAGUGAAUCAUGUGAUGAUUGUUCAAGUGUAGUUUAUGACGAAUUACGAAUGGCUUGAUCCCUGUUUAGGGUACGUAGGCAGUCUAACGAGGAUGUUAGAUGCAGUCAUAAAUUAUACGAAAAAUUAAAUUACUAUGCAGUUGGAUCUCGAGUUGUGUUCUGCCCAUAUCCCGGAGGUGGGGUGGGGUAUGUUAGAGAUACGGGUAUUUGGCGACGUCACGUGUCGAUCCUGGAUGUAUGUCGGGAUCAGGGCAUGACAUAAUCAGGGUGCUUUAAUUGAACCACCAGACCAUGAUGCUCUAUUAGGGAUUUGGAUCCUCUCCAAGGCACUUGGUCGGGAUCCUC